AUUUUUUUUCAAAACAAAAUGGCAUAUAGACAAAGCAAACAAUCAUAUAUGAUUCCAUAUAUUCGCAUUGCUUUCGUUUUUAUAUUUAUUAAAUGGUUUUUGCGAGUUUAAGGUUCAUUAUAACAAAUUGACAAAAAUUGCUGUGUUUAGAGCACAAAAACUACUCCGAGUACAGACUACCCUGUGCAGUUGAAAUUUUUGUAGACCGGGUAUCCACUAGAGAUAUAAAAGUUAAAUGCAUUUUGUGUUUCAGAAAGAUAAAAUAUUUUUUUGGAUUUUGAUGGGCCUUUUUUUUUGUUGUUGUCUAAGCGAUAUUUAAACAUCAGAUUCGGACUAAAACUAAUUUAAAAAUGUUUAUCAGUGUCAACAAAGCAAUUAAAUGACAUAAAACCCGAUGCUUGGGGCUCAGUGAGAUGAGAUUUUUGUUUGCUUCAUUUUGAAACUCUAACUGUGACUUUAAGAUGAAGAACAGAAAUAAAAAUGCUUUUCCUUUGCUUUAUGUUGAUUUUGGGCCAUGGAUGUAUACCCCAAAUUCUUUGUUUAUUUUUUAUUAGAUAUUAAUCAUUUUCAGAAAUAAAAUUACAAGAAAUAUAAUCUAUAAUUCAAGAAUUGUCCAUUUUGCCAAGAUGACAUCGUGAAAUUCGAAAAUAACCAAGCCCUUGCCAAGGAGAAUGAAUAAAAUAUUACUCCAUCGUGACCUUUGGUAGUCAGCAUUGACCCAAUGAACAUCCAAUUUAAAUGUCACAAUAUCAAAUCAUAUAUUUUUGAGGUAUCACUUUAUCAUAUAACCUCCCGUUUAGUUGGAUAUGAAAAUAUCUCUUCAUCCGUAAAAUUAAUAACAGGCCAAAAAACCAUCAAAACAAUGUAGUUAAUUUAAUAUCACGUAGUUUUCAUUAUAGAGGCCAAAUGUGUUAUUUUAAUUACAAUUAACCAAAUGCAAGGACAUUUUGCAUAUCUUUGUUCAUUUUUUAUAUGCAAGAUGUCUGUAUAUAUAAAAAAAUAAGAAGAAGUGGUAUGAUUGCCAAUGAGACAACUCUCCAAAAGAGACCAUAAUGCGCAAAAAUUGACGACUAUAGUUCACCGUACGGCCUUCAACAAUUAGUAAAACCAAUACCGCAUAGUCAGCGAUAAAAAAAAAAAAAAACAUAGAACAGGAUGACGGAGUUAGAUCUUGUAAAAAAGGCAAACGUAUGUUUAUAUUUUUUUUUGUAGUUUUAAAUGCCAACGUAGAAAAAUACCUGCAACAAGACCAAUAUAUAACCAAUCAAAAUCUUUAUAUUUUUUUUCU
rnacentral:lncRNA from 1 species